GCUUUCCCCCUCCCCUUCAGUGCGACAAUCUCAGAGCUGGUGGAGAAGCAGAGCGUGUGCAGCUGGAUAAAUUCGUAGACGUGGAAUUUCUGGAUCAAAUGGAGGAGAUUGGACAAUUGAGAGAGCCCUUGGAAGAGGGGAAGAGGGGAAGAGGGCUUCGUUACCAGUGUGUAUUUGCCACCUAGUGAUCAUAGUGAGGGAGAAGAGGCUGGACCUUCGGUCCUUGUCAUUCAAACCCGUUCCACAAGCAGGCAGAAAGGCCACACACUGAGAGUCGAGCCUUGGGAUGCAGACUCCGACAGCUCUGAUGACGUGCUGAUCCAUGUGCCAGAAGAGGAAAGCAGCACAGAAGAGCUUAUCUCCAGACAAAACCCAAGUGUCUUGCUUCUUUCCCCAUAUCUGCUGUGAUGACCGGCACUUGUAUUGACGCAUGCUUGUGUUCACCUUGAGAUCAGAGAGAAAUAGAAAUUAAUUGCCCACUAAUCAUGAUUGCUGAUGCAAAAUUAGGAAAAUACCAACAAGCUUCAGUUUACUUCGUGUUUUAUUUGAGUGAACAAACCAAUGGUCUGGGCUGUCCUAAUACUCCCUUCCCUGCCCCCAGUUUUCCCCAAAAGCUCAUGACUCCUUCCAACAGAAAUUCCUCUACAGCGAGGGUUUCAGGAACUCAACUCUCAUACCCAGGGAGGGCAGUUACUCUACUUCGUUGCACAAUCUGAUUUUGUACUCUCGAUCCUGAUAUUUAUUUUAAUUCUGUUUAAGCCUUACUUGCUCUUUCAGCAGAAAGAAUCCAGACCCUUGCCCUUUACCUGGUUUGGUAUCAGUGAACUUGCUUUGCAGCGGUUGUAUGAGGUAGCUAUGGGUCAGUCUCGAAGGGCAGUGCAAUGACAAUGGACUCCUGCAUUUACUCUGGCAUCUAAUCGAGGAGUAGAAGUUGCUAGAGUUCAUUUCCAUUGAUCUCUGUUCUCAUAUCUGGUCUUCCCAGGAAUCUGAACAUCUGGAUAUCCUCCGGGAAAGGGGUUCUGACUGAAACUUCUUCUUCCCUGAGGGUAGUGGAAAUCCAAUAAUUCCCCCCCACCCCCGGCCUGGAGGUCUGAAUGAUAGCCUAGCUAUACUUGAGUUUGAAGUGAGCAGAGGAAAGGGGGAAAAAAUACAAAAGUUAAAAGGGCUUGCUCGCAUAGUUACAGUUGAGAUGACAGAUAUUCCUCAAUAGGUUCAAAAGAGGCAGAUGAGACUUGAAAACUCGUUUUCAGGUGCUGUGGUUCUAGAGACCCCCACCCCCCACAGUGCCAGAGAAGCCUACACGCCUGCUCUAAGCCAUAGCAGUUCUCAGCGCAUCCAGAUCAUGUUAGGGAGCUUUGAAAAAUACAGAGUUCUGGGACCUGCCCCUAGAUGUGCUGAAUCAGGGAUGGGGUCAGCAUCUGUAAAUUUUGAAAGCUCCUCAACUGUUUUUUUUAUACAGCCAUGGCUGCUAACUGCUGCUCUAAGUCUAAACAGAAUUGUAAUAGAAAAUACAAUGCAAAUGGUGGUGGGCCCAGGAUCUAGGGAAACUUUAUUCCAAAUUUUGGCUUUACCACUAGCUCAAUGGAUGGUCUUAUUCAAACCACCCUACUCUUUCCUUACCCAUCAAAUGAGAGAUUAGGACCACUUGGUCUCCAAGGUCCCUCUAUCUCUGACAUUGUUACUUUGAGAGAAAGCUUCUUCAAUUUUCUUGAUUGACUUUGAGUGUACCUAAGCCCUUUCAUAGAGACCAAGGUAAGUAGUAGUGUUGCUGCACUGUGUUCUUGAUGUUUUAAAAAUGGUGGCUUCUGGUUCAAGUUUGACCAUGGUUUAGUCCCUUCCAGAAAAGAGAGUUAGGCAUAGAAAACAAAGAACAAACAUAACAUCAAUUUCCUGAAAGGAAAGACAGAGGGGACCUCCUAUGAGUUUAUUUGUAGUAAUUGUUCUUUUUCUUCUGAGUUACAGGGCUUGGGGAAAAUAAUAGAUAUUAUGAGGAAAACACCUUAACAUGUUGUAUCUAUUGUUUUCAUAAACCAAAGCAGAGAGAAUUCUGUGUCAGGGUUGCUGUUCCAAGGUUCCAUGGAUAAUUGGUGUAUUCUUAAUCAUACCUAGAGGUAAAUAGUUUUAAGUCAAUGAUUAUUUUACCAGUUUAAUCAAUGGUUCCAUAUGCCUUUAGAGAAUGUAGUUUCCUGAUAAAUUUUACCAUUCAUUGAGAUUACUGCCUUGGAAUUUUUUCUCUUAAUUUGACUAGAAUUAGAGAAAUCAAAUUUAAGUUGGAGAGCAUCACCUGGGAACCAUUAAUAUAAAAUAAUACAAUGGGAAACUGACUACUGUAUGGAUUUAGUUGUCAUAGGGAUGCCUAGACUUUGACUUGAUAGAUGCAAACUUUUGUUUAGGGACCAGGCCAUUUGAAAUACAUUACUGAGAUAAAUUUAAUUCUUGUUUAAGGUAAUACCCAGUUAAAAUAAUCUAAGAAGUAUCAUUGAUGAGGCUAAAAGCCAGAACAUUUCAACAUGGCUGAAUUUAACAAGUCAGCAGAACUUACAGGUGAAUUUGAAAGUUGGUAUGGGCAAAGUGGUAGAAAUAGAAGUGCAUGUAACUGGGUGUUUCUUUUUUUCCUUUUUCAAAUUAAGAAUAGUCCCCAAAAUUGACAAGCUGAAAUUUCUUUUAGAAGAUUUUAUACACAAUUUGGGUGGAAUCAAAUGGUUCAGGUAAAUUCUUGGGUUCAGUGUUACAAAGUGCCUAGCAGUUUUCUUCUUUACAU